GAGGCAUCGAAGGUGUAAAAAAAAAAAAAAAGCACGAAAAUAUCCAACAAUGCGCAACAGGCUGGUUCCCGUCAGGGCGAAGGUGAGAUGGGAUGGGGGUCAGUUCUGAGCAAGAGCUCGCAUUAAAAGGAAAAUUACCCUACAUAAAAAAGUAGAACCCAGACCCAACGCUACAGCCUGACCACGUGACUCUACGUGACCCGUAUGUGGUCACCUUUAGUGGGGUUUAUGACACGAGGUCCGAUUAACCAUUCAAACUUUGUCUUCUGAGGGAAACAAUGCGCGAUAUCCCAUAAAACGACAUGGCCGUGAGGGGGGGCGACUCCUGAGACAAGAAUGUGUCGCGGCUCUACAAAGUUUCCUAAUUAUAAGCUAUCGAGACACAAAAGUGUUUGAGGAACACAACAUCAGGCUCGUGCAGAUGCUGCUGGAGGAGAAAAUGUGCUGUUUUACAAACAGGAGGUGAGUUAUGAGGCUAAUGAUAUCAAUGAAAGGGAGGAAUGACUCCUCCUGGCUUUAGGAAGAAACACGACAUGUGUUCACAGCCAGAGCCAAGAUGAUUGACAGGUCACCUAAACCAACGAACCGGUUGAUAAUGGCUGAAAGAUAAAGACAUAAAGUGAAUCAUGAGACUUCACUGGAGGCAAAUUCAGAUGUAAAAACAUGUAAAUGAAACCCAAAUAAAAGGCAUGAAAACAACAAAGGCUUACACUCUCAAACACGCUGACUAUUUGAUUUUUUGUUUUUUUUUAAUCACUCAGUUCCACUUUAUAAACACGGCCCAGAACUGCUGAAUCCGCUCAAAAUGGAGCUCAGAUUCGUGUCCUCUGGUGUCCACAGACGCAGGAAGGUUCUUCAUUAGUCCAUCCAGAGGCUGCAGACGUGCACAGAAGAGUCAGAUCCUCCUCAUUACCUCUUUCAUUCAAAUAAAACCUUCCUGUGGACUUUUAUGUGUAUUGGAAGGCUUCCGUUGCGCAUCUUAGCAUGAUUUUAGCACAAAAUCUCCCAGCAUGCAUGGAAUCAUGGCACAGCUGAUAAGUGUGAGACAAAGAAAAGCCAAUAUAUCCAGAUAAACAAAUGCUCUUUAAGUGGCUGGCUGAAGGUGAAAAGAGGGGAGUGCUGUCUAGACGGUUUAUUACCCCCCAUAAGAAACUAUGCUUGAAUACACUGUUUCUUCUAUGCUGAAUCUGAGCAGCUCAAACUGUGUGCAGUCAUAAAACUGCAGGAGAACCCCAGAGAUAUUAGCCACAUGGUCAGAGCCCUUCUGAGGUUUAUUAAAGAAGAACAGGGGAAUGGUUGUCAAAUACAUGUUAAUCAUGAAAAUCACUUUCAACCGGGAUCCAUGCAAACACACAAUGGAGGAUGAUUAAAGGGAACGCGACAUGAAUCAGAGCUGUUCUCGAGUGGAUCUGCUGUAAAAAGGCGUUCAAGUUGCGCACAGAUCCUUGGCUUUUAUUCCUGCACAGAAAACCCAACACUGCCAACGCGUCUUUGACAGGGGAAGCGACCUGACAAUGGAGAACCUCCAGUGGUUACAGACGAGAUCUUUCAUAAAUGACCCAGUUCGGCGGGGCGAGCAGGAAUAUUAGUCAACACUAACAUUCCCCUUUCUUUGCUACAGUCUAACCUUUAGGAUUCUCUUUGGAGUUGACACAAGUGGCGCGUUUCUCCAGUGUGUCAUUUGCUUUAUGACGACCUUGAAGUGGACAAACAGUCACAUCCCCGGCCCUCGCUGAGGAAUUGUGGGAAUUGAACACGUGUCUCUAAAGGCCUCAGUAAAAGAUGAAAGCCUGGGAAGGAUGAACUAUUUCACAUUAGUGUGACAAUCACCAGGUUU
rnacentral:lncRNA from 1 species